UCCAGGGAACUUAGCAGAGAUGCUUUGGUGCCUUCGGGAACUCUGAGACAGGUGCUGCAUGGCUGUCGUCAGCUCGUGUUGUGAAAUGUUGGGUUAAGUCCCGNAACGAGCGCAACCCUUAUCCUUUGUUGCCAGCGGUUCGGCCGGGAACUCAAAGGAGACUGCCGGUGAUAAACCGGAGGAAGGUGGGGAUGACGUCAAGUCAUCAUGGCCCUUACGGCCAGGGCUACACACGUGCUACAAUGGCGCAUACAAAGAGAAGCGACCUCGCGAGAGCAAGCGGACCUCAUAAAGUGCGUCGUAGUCCGGAUUGGAGUCUGCAACUCGACUCCAUGAAGUCGGAAUCGCUAGUAAUCGUAGAUCAGAAUGCUACGGUGAAUACGUUCCCGGGCCUUGUACACACCGCCCGUCACACCAUGGGAGUGGGUUGCAAAAGAAGUAGGUAGCUUAACCUUCGGGAGGGCGCUUACCACUUUGUGAUUCAUGACUGGGGUGAAGUCGUAACAAGGUAAGCGUAGCGAG
rnacentral:rRNA from 1 species